rfam:Rattus norvegicus chromosome 1, whole genome shotgun sequence.
GGGGAUUUAGCUCAGUGGUAGAGCGCUUGCCUAGCAACUGCAAGGCCCUGGGUUCGGUCCCCAGCUCCG